rnacentral:ncRNA from 12 species
AGCCUGUGAAAUAACAGCUUUUUCAAGGAGUUAGUUAUUGAGGCUCUUACUGGUUCUCACUUAGCCAAUUCUUGAAUAGGAGAUAGCCUCUGAAAGAAAAAAGUGAAA